UACGGAGGAUGCAAGCGUUAUCCGGAAUGAUUGGGCGUAAAGCGUCCGCAGGUGGCGAUGUAAGUCUGCUGUUAAAGCGUCUAGCUCAACUAGAUAAGAGCAGUGGAAACUACAUAGCUAGAGUACGUUCGGGGCAGAGGGAAUUCCUGGUGUAGCGGUGAAAUGCGUAGAGAUCAGGAAGAACACCAGUGGCGAAGGCGCUCUGCUAGGCCGUAACUGACACUGAGGGACGAAAGCUAGGGGAGCGAAUGGG
rnacentral:rRNA from 1 species